rnacentral:rRNA from 1 species
CAGCCGCCGCGGUAAUACGUAGGUGGCAAGCGUUAUCCGGAAUUAUUGGGCGUAAAGCGCGCGUAGGCGGUUUCUUAAGUCUGAUGUGAAAGCCCACGGCUCAACCGUGGAGGGUCAUUGGAAACUGGGAAACUUGAGUGCAGAAGAGGAAAGUGGAAUUCCAUGUGUAGCGGUGAAAUGCGCAGAGAUAUGGAGGAACACCAGUGGCGAAGGCGACUUUCUGGUCUGUAACUGACGCUGAUGUGCGAAAGCGUGGGGAUCAAACAGGAUUAGAUACCCGAGUAGUCCCUGUCUCUUAUAC